rnacentral:rRNA from 1 species
CCAGCAGCCGCGGUAAUUCCAGCUCCAAUAGCGUAUAUUAAAGUUGUUGCGGUUAAAAAGCUCGUAGUUGGAUCUCGGCGGGCAGGGGGCGGUUCGUUAUUUGACGUGACUGCCCCGUUUGUCCGUGUUUCUUCUGGGCGGAGUUUCCGGGGUGCUCUUAACCGAGUGUCCCGGGAGGCCGCCAGGUUUACUUUGAAAAAAUUAGAGUGCUCCAAGCAGGCUCGACACGCCUGAAUAUUCGUGCAUGGAAUAAUGGAAUAGGACGUCGUUCCUAUUUUGUUGGUUUUCGGGAAUCGACGUAAUGAUUAAUAGGGACAGCCGGGGGCAUUCGUAUUCAGACGACAGAGGUGAAAUUCUUGGACCGUCUGAAGACGAACGACUGCGAAAGCAUUUGCCAAGAGUGUUUU